CAAUGGGAAAGCCAGGAUUAGGAAUAUAUUCAAUCUUUCCUAUAUGUUCCUUGUCUAUAUUGUCUACUCCACUGCAAGAUAACCAAAUAUUUGGCAUAUUAUGUGGUAACACAGAAGACCGAUUAUAAUAACGUGGAAUCCAAUCAAGUCUCUAUAAUGCGCGACAUUAAAUAUCGAUAAAUAUUUAUAUUGUGUAUAUAUCAAUGCAGUAAAUAAAGAGUAAUAGUAAAUUGAGCUUAUAA